CAACCUUUUCAACCUGGUGGCCGCCGUCGGGGACUCAGACGCUCCGUGCUCCUCAUGCUCGACCGUCGAGCCGUGGAAGGCAAUCCCGUCCGCGAGAUUUAUCUGAACGAGAUGGUGAAGCAGAUGCGCGGCCGCCACAGUGUGUCGGCAGAGGCUUUCUUCCAUUAAAUAUAGGAGACCAAAAAAAUGCUCAGCAGCUUUGCUUGCAAUGUGGGUGGAAAUUGGAACUGACAUUGAAAAGCUUGCAACAGUGGCUGUUAUCUUCCAAGAAAUGAAGAAGCUUGCUCAGUCUAUGUUGAGAUGAAGCUGGGCUGUACCAAGUUUGGAAUAUGUAUCAAGGAGAAGGUAUAUGCGCAUGAUAUGUGGACUGAUGUAGAGGGUCCGGAAGCUAUCUUGAAGGAGUAGGAGACAUGAUUUAGAGUGUGCCGAUUCUGCAAUUUGCAGCAUAUUAUACAAGAGGCCAUGUAGAGAACCAGAGUGUCAGUAAUCAAGGUCAUUGAGGGUGGAAGAACACCUCGUGCUAUUGCAAUGGGCACAUCAGCUGCUUUGUAUUCGAAGUGUGGUUAGCGAUGAGGGCUGUGGAUCAUACCAUGACGGUAGAACCUUGAUAACCUUAAAGAUCAAAAGGAUCAGUGGAAUGAGCAGAAGAGAUUGCAAGGUUGUUGAGACAUCAUGGUCUUCCGACGAGGGAAAUCUAUGACUGCUUGCUGACGAUAUUCGUGUUGGCCGGGAAACCACCAACAAAACAUGGAUUUGAUGCAGAUGAAGAAAUAUUUAAGAUUCGGUAAGAGGAAAGCCCGCCACAGACGGGCUAAGAAAAAGAAAACACUGUUGAGCAGGUAGAUUACGAAGAUGAUGAAACAAUAGGCACAGAAGUAGAUCAUAACUCAGAAAUAACAUUGGUUUAAUGUCCAUACUGAGGCAAACAUUUGCAGAUUCUUAUGGCGGAUAACAUCUGUUACCUUCAGCAUGAUAUUAACAGGCUGAAGAACCGUACACAGAGAAGUGUGCAUGCUCAGAAAAAGAUCAAGCACACAAUGGCACAGCAGAGGAGGAAUACCCAAAUCUGAUGGAGUGACCUCUCCAGCUCCAUCUCCCGCCUCCUUCGCCUGCGGCUGCCCUCAUUGCCACCCAUGUGGUAAGGAUUCGAGUAGUCAACGCUGGCCCACUCCUGAUCCCGGACCAUCCACGAGAGCACCGCCACCGCCAAUCCCCCCAGCACGCCGCCCGCCAUCGAGUGGCUCGGUUGCAGGUAACGGUGAGGCCGAAUCUCCGGGUACCGCGCCUCGUUCGGCCCGAUCGCGCCCCGGCGGGCCGGCCGCGGACGACGCGGUACCUCGACGCCCGGGUGGGAGUUCCUCCCGCAGCCUCGGUGGCCGCGGCCGUAGAGCGGCACCAGAGCGUCCAGGGAGAGGGCGGCCUUGCAUACGGGGCACAGCUGGGGGGCGGCGCUCUCGGCCUGCUGCAGCCACCUGUAUAUGCACGGCCAGCAGUAGAGGUGGCCGCAGAGCGUGACGACCGGCUCCGCGGCGACAUCGAGGCAUAUGUUGCACUCAAAGCACCCGUUGCCGGAGGCCAGCGCGCCGGCGUCCGGCUCGCACGUCUUCCCAGGCUCGUCCCCGCGACGGGAUUCCCCUCGAUGGCCGUCCAUCUCGCUUGGGUUCGGUGCCGCUGCUUGUUGCGGUUGGCCGACGACAAGGAACGGUGACAGCCGCAGCAAGCAAAGUCAUUCAUAAAGACGAGCUUACGUGUGCAACUUUUAAGAUAAGGCUGCCGUUGGUGAUCUUUUGGCUCGCGAACGGCACGAACCUUAAAGAACAGAUGUGAGAAGAAGGCGGCGCGGAUGGCAGGUAAACAUCCCGGACACCAUAUAACGAGAGAAACAAUUGCUGAGGUUGCAGAGAAACAGAUGUGUGUGUGCUUAUCGUCUUCCCCACUAUUUUGAGAUAGAAGAAACCCAUGAAGGUUGAGGAAAAAUAUGUAUCAUGGCUUUAUGGUCUGCAUAUUAUUAAUUUUCUCUAUUUUAUUCUUCCAUUUAA